rnacentral:misc_RNA from 1 species
UGUGGGAGCGAGCCUGCUCGCGAAUGGCCGGCACAGCCGAAAUCUUCACGGUUGGUCAGUCUUCGCGAGCAGGCUCGCUCCCACA